ensembl:lncRNA
AAAACACACUAGGGGUAAUUACAAGAAGCAAUACCUGCACUGGAAACGUUCUGCGUGACUCUAUCAUUUCAAGCUGCAGAACAUGGAAGUGCUAAAGUGUUCCUGAGGAUAUCAGGAGAAAUAAAAAGUUCCUUAUCUCCCGUGACAAAGAUAAAAAAGAGGAACAUGUGUAAUGUAACUCUUCAGGAAAGCCAUGAGUUCAAAUGACAAACACAGUGGAGGGGAGCUAAACACAGGAUGUUCCCAGCAGCAUUCAUCUGGAGCAACAUAGAGGCUGCUGGUGGUAGGCUUGGAGGAGGUUCUUUGGUUUGGAUGGAAGGUUUUGAAGACUCCCUGUGCUCUUCUUUUGGUGUCAGUAUGUUACCUUCUGGAGAAACACCUCCUGAUAAGAGUUUAGCAGACUAAAGGGGCAGCUCCAAAAGUAAUGCCUCCUAUUUUAUGAUGUUGGCCAGUGAUGUCAGAGGUGGAUGU